rnacentral:lncRNA from 1 species
UAUAUCAAAAAUAAUUUGAACAACAAAGAAAUCAAUUUUUAUCAUGAAUAGUUUCCCGGGUGAAUAGUACCCGAGUUAAUUGUAAUGACCGAGAAAUUCGGAUCUUAUUAUAAAAUGAUUUUAUUAAAUUAAAUAAUAAUAAAAUCAUAUUCCAUGUGUUAUCAAGAUGGUUGUCAUUGUAUAACCUAUUGAUGUUAGAAUGUCGUAGUAUUUGAGCUACGUGGAUGAAUUAAAGUGUUUGAAUUUCCAAGACGAAAAUAAAAGUUUUUCGAGAAAUUUUCUGAAAAACACUAUUCAUCGGUAGGGAUAUAAUUUUGAGUUUCCGAGAAAUACGUAAUGAUGGAAUAACAAGGUAAGAUGGAUUAUGUAAUAAAAAUCUAGUUAUGGAAAGAGUAAUAAUUCUCUUGUGGACUUAAUUUUGUAAACUUUAAGUAAAGUGAAGUGGUAAGGAAUAAGUAAUAAUUGUAUGAUACUUGGUAUUGUACGAAGAAAUGAAAGCGAGUAUAAUACGAAGUAUUAUACAAGUUUGUAUGAAGGAUGAAAUACCGUAUACAAAUUCUAUAUGAAUUAGAAUACAAGAAUAAUGCAUCAAUUAUAU